UCGCCUGUUUAUCAAAAACAUAGCCUUUAGCCCUACAAGUAUUAAAGGUCCCGCCUGCCCAGUGACCAUUUAAACGGCCGCGGUAUCCUAACCGUGCAAAGGUAGCAUAAUCACUUGUCCCCUAAAUAGGGACUAGAAUGAAUGGCUAAAUGAGGACAAAACUGUCUCUUACGGACUAGCCAAUGAAAUUGAUCCUCCAGUACAAAAGCUGGAAUGAACACAUAAGACGAGAAGACCCUGUGGAGCUUCAAAACCAAAACCACUAAACAUGCUUCUUGGAUUUUUAGUUGGGGCGACUUUGGAGCAAAAAAAACCCUCCAAAACAUGAAUAUAAUUAUUUAGACUAACACACCAAAAAAAUUCUACUAGACCCAGCAGUAUUACACUACUGUCUGAUUAAUGAACCAAGUUACCCCAGGGAUAACAGCGCCAUCCUCUUCUAGAGUUCCUAUCGACAAGAGGGUUUACGACCUCGAUGUUGGAUCAGGACACCCCUAUAGUGCAGCCGCUAUAAAAGGUUCGUUUGUUCAACGAUUAAAGUCCUACGUGAUCUGAGUUCAGACCGGA
rnacentral:rRNA from 1 species